GCUUCUCCUUAGCUCAGUGGUAGAGCAUCCGCCUUGAAUGCACAAGGUUCCAAGUUCAAUCCCUGGCAUCUCCA